AUGCACUGAUAUAUAUGGCUAAACAUACAUAGUGCUUGAUUACAAUCUGUAUCUGAUAUUGAUUAUUUCUUAACAAAUUUAAUCUGAUUGGGUAUGGCACUGAAUUUAGAACUAUUUCUUUAACAAUAAUGCAUGUAAAAGAUAAGCACAAGGUUACUGAAUUACAAUUGUGUUUCCAAUUGUACCAGGACUUUUUUUCGAGAAUAAAAGGUAACAGAUUUAGAUUUUUUUCUCAGCAUUUAUAAUUAUCUAUUUAAAAGAAAAACAUAUCUUUCUUGGCAUGCUCAGUAUUCUAACAAGAAAAACAUUGAAUAGUUGAUUUAAAAAAUUAUGUUUUGAUAGAUUGAGGCCAUACCCAGUCUGGUCAGAUUUAUAGAGUAAUAGAUAUUUGAAAUAUGUAUAUGAGAUGUGCAAAUGAAUGAAUGUUGACAUUAUUUCCAUCAAAUACAUUAUAUAAAACAUGAAAAAUGAAUUUGUUAGUAUUUUAUAUAGUUUCAAAAAUAGUAAUUGUGUUAUUGUGUUAGAUUUUUAUUAUGUGUGUUAUACCGUAUAGCUGAUUAUUUUCGCGGGUGUAAAAUUUCGCGAUUUUCAUUGAAUAAGGUAUAUGAAAAAUUUUGGCGGUUAUUAUUUUGGCGGAUUCAACAUUUUUAACAUUAUCUUUGCAUGUACACUUUUAAAUUGGCGGAAUUUAUUUUGGCGAUUUUGUUCUUUCUGCGAAAAAAAUCUGCGGAAAUUUACACCCCGCAAAAAUAACCUGCUAUACGGUAUUUUGUUUUGUUUGCUCAUUAAUUUAAUUUUUUGCUAAGCAAAAACAUCAUGAAUUGUUUAUUUUGUGGGUAAAAUUCAUUAGUUUUCCAUUUUUCAGUUCUACAAUGAUCUUUAUAGAAAAAAAUAGUGUACUUAAGCUGUUUUGCAGAGACAAAAGCAAUUGUAUCUAAGGUUAUACUUUAAUUCUUUAGAAAAAUGAAAAAUGUAAGUAAUUUAAACCUAAAUUAGAGCAUAGAACAAAGUAAUUCUUAGAAUUUUUAAAAUUCAGAAAAAAAUCAUUUGCAAGCUACCGCACACAAAAAUGAAUUACUUUAAAAUACCCAUUCCAUUCAUAAUUACAAGUAAAAUCCACCAAACAUGUAGUUUAGUUCCUUUUAAUACUACGAGUGUGAAGUCAUUUUAGGAAUGUGCAAGAUACGUUUUGUUGAAGGUUUAUAACUUUUAUGAUUAAACAUUUUUCUUAAAUAAGCUUAUAUGGUUAAUGAAUCAUCAAGUAUAUGAAAUUAUAUUUCCUGUAGUUUCAACAAUAUAACUAAAUUAAAUUUCUUUUUCAUUUUUGUAAUUUUAGAAUGACAAAGUUAUCAUAAAAGUGUUCUGUUUUAAAAUUUACUGGUAGCAUAUAUUGCAAGAACUUACUAAUUUUGGUGAAUAUUUAGCAACAAAUAAAAAAAAACAGUCUUAAUUUUUCAAGACAAUCUGUUUUACAUUAGGUAUUUGUUUAUUUUUGUAGAACUUAAUUUGAGUUUUCAUAUACUGGCGGGUAAUCAUUAUAUGUCAUUCACAUUUUCAUAAUGCUUUUCCCCAAAGUUUCAAAUGUGCAUUGCUUCUCUACAGAUUGGAUGAUUUUUGACUCUUGUGGAGUCCCAAUUCAGAGAAUAAUAACAGUUUUGCCAGAUCAUUUUUAAAUAAAGCAUGGACUUAGGAUUUAGAAUUUUAGUCAUUUUGGAUGUUAAAAGGCUUACAUAUUAUGUAGAUGUCAGCUUUCAUUUGUCAUUGCUUACAUUGUAAAUAUGUAGCAUUUAGUCAUGCUUGAUAAAUUGCAAAGUAUGUAAGACAAAAACCUCUGAAAUUGAUUUUUUAUUUAGAAAAAACAUGCAUCUAACGAAGAAUAUGCAUAUAGAAGGUUAAUAAAUAAAAGUAUGUUCAUUAUCUUUCAAACAUUUUGUUACUACUUGCUAUGAAAUUGAUCACUACAAAGUAUUUGUUUGGCAAACAAAUCAUACCGUGAAUCUCUUACAAAAAUAUAAGACAGAUUUGAUUAAUAAUGAUUUGUUUUAAAGUUAUAUUAUAAAAACACAACUGUGCUUGCUUUGUCAAUAUAAAUCAAAUAUGUAUUUUCCCAUUUUAUAAAAUUCAUUUUUCAUUAUCAUUGACCAUUUGGGACCUUUAUACAGAAAUAAAGAUAAAACAGGUACUGUUAAAAUGUCUGAACCUAAUCCUUAUUGUGUGAAACUGGAAUUAUAUCUUAAAUUUAUUUUAAAUGAAGAUAUUGUAUUGUUCAAGAAAACGAAAUUGUUUAGACAUAUUUAUAUCUGUAUAUGAAUUAUUA
rnacentral:lncRNA from 1 species